UCCAUGCUUGACUGUCACCACCCAACCACACUGCCAUGAAAGUCAGUUCAUCAUUCUCUAAUUUGAUUAACAAAAUGGCCAAACAUAUAAAUAGGCAUCCAACUCAACGCACCACAAAUUCAUUAUCUUUUCCACACAUCACAAACUCCUUCAAACCAAACAUUAAUCAAAGAGAGAAUCCAGUUUCUUGUAGCCAAGUUCUUUGUGAAUGUAGAAAACAGAGCUAGUGUUUGUCCCUUUCCCAGGGAUUGGCCACGUUGUUUCAAAACUCCUUGUUCACCAUGAUGACAGAAUCUCCAUCACUGUUAUCAUCAUCAGGCUAGCUUUGGACUCCAAAAUCAGCAAGUACACUGAGUCGCUCCAAAAUGCGAAUUUUUGUUUUUUCAUCCAAUGUUUGAUACCUCAAAAUUAUUUCAAGGGAGCAAUUUUCUUACUCGUCUCUGGCUUUGCCAGCGAGUGAUCUGGUUCCUUUCUCCUUUUGUCCUCUCUCACAGAUUUCUUUGUUCAGUUUUUAAAAGGUCAAAGAAGGGACAGGUAUCCUCAGUAUGCAAAAGCUGCACUUUGUCAAGCUUGUUAUGGAUCAUUACGCCUUGCAAGAACCUUGGAACAGAAAGCUGCAGAACUUCUGGGAGCUAUACCAAAACCCUUUCUUUCGCUACAUCUUCGAUUUGAACCUGACAUGGUAGCAUAUAGCCAAUGUGAGCACUCAGGCCUUUCUCCUGCCUCCAUAGAAGCUAUUGAAGCUGCAAGGGGAGACAGAAAACCAUGGACUGGGGAGUUGGCUCGUGUUUGGAGAAAACGAGGGAAGUGUCCCCUCACACCUAACGAGACAGCCUUCGUUUUGCAGGCACUUUCCAUCCCUAAAAACACAAACAUGUAUCUUGCAGCUGGGGAUGGCCUGGUGGAAAUUGAAGGUUUAAAACCCACUUACACCAAUGUGGUCACCAAAUCUGCACUUCUCCGGGGCAAAUGUAAAAACCAAAACAACUGGCAUUUUACAUGGUGAUUUUCCAGUCGUAUGUUUUUCUUCCCCGUUAUCGUGUGAUUUCAAGGAAUGACUUUUGUGCAUUUAAAAUUA